AGACUGCUGUGGAUAUCUCUGAGGUCCGUCCACUCUAAGCUCGAACACCAAGCCUGGAACCUGUACCGUUUGGUGUUCUACCUUACAGUGAGCGGACUUCAGUAGCAAGCAUCACGAUCAAG
rnacentral:precursor_RNA from 12 species